CAGGCUUAACACAUGCAAGUCGAGGGGCAGCACAGGUAGCAAUACCGGGUGGCGACCGGCGCACGGGUGAGUAACGCGUAUGCAACUUACCUAUCAGAGGGGGAUAACCCGGCGAAAGUCGGACUAAUACCGCAUGAAGCAGGGGCCCCGCAUGGGGAUAUUUGCUAAAGAUUCAUCGCUGAUAGAUAGGCAUGCGUUCCAUUAGGCAGUUGGCGGGGUAACGGCCCACCAAACCGACGAUGGAUAGGGGUUCUGAGAGGAAGGUCCCCCACAUUGGUACUGAGACACGGACCAAACUCCUACGGGAGGCAGCAGUGAGGAAUAUUGGUCAAUGGCCGAGAGGCUGAACCAGCCAAGUCGCGUGAGGGAUGAAGGUUCUAUGGAUCGUAAACCUCUUUUAUAAGGGAAUAAAGUGCGGGACGUGUCCCGUUUUGUAUGUACCUUAUGAAUAAGGAUCGGCUAACUCCGUGCCAGCAGCCGCGGUAAUACGGAGGAUCCGAGCGUUAUCCGGAUUUAUUGGGUUUAAAGGGUGCGUAGGCGGCCUUUUAAGUCAGCGGUGAAAGUCUGUGGCUCAACCAUAGAAUUGCCGUUGAAACUGGGGGGCUUGAGUAUGUUUGAGGCAGGCGGAAUACGUGGUGUAGCGGUGAAAUGCAUAGAUAUCACGCAGAACCCCGAUUGCGAAGGCAGCCUGCCAAGCCAUGACUGACGCUGAUGCACGAAAGCGUGGGGAUCAAACAGGAUUAGAUACCCUGGUAGUCCACGCAGUAAACGAUGAUCACUAGCUGUUUGCGAUACACAGUAAGCGGCACAGCGAAAGCGUUAAGUGAUCCACCUGGGGAGUACGCCGGCAACGGUGAAACUCAAAGGAAUUGACGGGGGCCCGCACAAGCGGAGGAACAUGUGGUUUAAUUCGAUGAUACGCGAGGAACCUUACCCGGGUUUGAACGCAUUCGGACCGAGGUGGAAACACCUUUUCUAGCAAUAGCCGUUUGCGAGGUGCUGCAUGGUUGUCGUCAGCUCGUGCCGUGAGGUGUCGGCUUAAGUGCCAUAACGAGCGCAACCCUUGCCACUAGUUACUAACAGGUAAAGCUGAGGACUCUGGUGGGACUGCCAGCGUAAGCUGCGAGGAAGGCGGGGAUGACGUCAAAUCAGCACGGCCCUUACAUCCGGGGCGACACACGUGUUACAAUGGCGUGGACAAAGGGAGGCCACCUGGCGACAGGGAGCGAAUCCCCAAACCACGUCUCAGUUCGGAUCGGAGUCUGCAACCCGACUCCGUGAAGCUGGAUUCGCUAGUAAUCGCGCAUCAGCCAUGGCGCGGUGAAUACGUUCCCGGGCCUUGUACACACCGCCCGUCAAGCCAUGGGAGCCGGGGGUACCUGAAGUCCGUAACCGCGAGGAUCGGCCUAGGGUAAAACUGGUGACUGGGGCUAAGUCAUAACA
rnacentral:rRNA from 1 species